rnacentral:tRNA from 1 species
GCCAUCGUGGUGUAACGGUAGCACACUCGGCGCGUAUUCGAGAGGUCCAGGUUCGAGCCCCGACGACGGCA